UUGGCCAGUCUUCCGCCUUCCUCUUCGUUAUUGUUUGUUUUGUUCAUUCUGAUCGGCGAUCUUCACUUCUGAAGCGCCAAUUUCUGGGUGUAUAGAAGUUGGAAGUUGGAAGAUGGAGGAAUUUAUUGUGGCAGUUCUCUCGAUGCUGCUUGUUUUUGCGUUGGUUCCUCUGUUUCUGUGGAGACGCUAUCAGGACUCCCGCUCAGAUCAUGCACAUGAAGAUGAGGAUCAGGUUCCUCAGAGAGAAACUGUGGUUCGGGCCACUGCUGGUGGCCGUCGAAUGCGUCGGAGACCUGCUACGGCUGCUAGUUCGUCGAAUGCAGGGCCAUCUCUGGAAGAAAGUGCGGAUGGAAGUGAUGAAGAAAUGGCGGAUGAAUACAAUGAAGGUCGAGUGUCAAAGAAGAAAGAAAAGAAGCGACAGGAGCGCGAGGCACAGAGACAGGCCGAACAAGCUUCCCGCGACUCAAGGUGGACAAAACAAGACCGUUAUGCAGAAAUGCGGAGGAAGAAGGAUGAGGAACGUGAGGAGCAGGAACGGUUACUGGAAGAAGAAGCCAAGGCACGGAAGGUCAAGGAGGAAGAGGCUGCUUCACUUGAGUUUGAGAAGUGGAAAGGGGAAUUUUCAGUCGAUGCUGAAGGUACGACGGAAGCUGAUGUCGAAGGCGGAAAUCAAGAUUUGCUCUCUACUUUUGUGGAAUAUAUAAAGAAUCAUAAAUGUGUCCCAUUGGAAGAUCUUGCUGCAGAAUUUAAAUUAAGAACUCAGGAAUGUAUUAAUCGGAUCACCUCCCUCGAGAGCAUGGGCCGACUCUCUGGUGUUAUGGAUGAUAGAGGCAAAUACAUAUACAUAUCAAAGGAUGAAAUGCAAGCAGUUGCUGACUACAUCAAGCGUCAAGGAAGGGUUAGCAUUUCACAUUUAGCUAGUAAGUCCAACCAGUUCAUUGAUUUGGAACCAAAAACCCAAUUGGUUGAGGACAUCAAUGCUGAGGAGGUAACUGUCCCUUAAUAUACUUGUUAAUUUUGGAGAGAAAUGUUACAUGAAAUAAUCAUAAUCAUAAUCAUAAUCAACUAGUAUAUAAUUUUCCCAAUGAUCGUUCACGUUGAUUGCGGGUGGCUGUCGAUA